GUCCAGACUCCUACGGGAGGCAGCAGUGGGGAAUAUUGCACAAUGGGCGAAACCCUGAUGCAGCAACGCCGCGUGAGUGAUGAAGGCCUUCGGGUUGUAAACCUCUGUCUUCAGGGAAGAAAAUGUCGGUACCUGAGGAGGAAGCCACGGCUAACUACG
rnacentral:rRNA from 1 species